rnacentral:rRNA from 1 species
AGCGAACGCUGGCGGCAGGCCUAACACAUGCAAGUCGAACGAACCUUUCGGGGUUAGUGGCGGAAGGGUGAGUAACACGUGGGAACGUGCCUUUAUGUUCGGAAUAACUCAGGGAAACUUGUGCUAAUACCGAAUGUGCCCUUCGGGGGAAAGAUUAAUCGCCUUUAGAGCGGCCCGCGUCUGAUUAGCUAGUUGGUUGAGGUAAUGGCUCACCAAGGCGACGAUCAGUAGCUGGUCUGAGAGGAUGAUCAGCCACAUUGGGACUGAGACACGGCCCAAACUCCUACGGGAGGCAGCAGUGGGGAAUCUUGCGCAAUGGGCGAAAGCCUGACGCAGCCAUGCCGCGUGAAUGAUGAAGGUCUUAGGAUUGUAAAAUUCUUUCACCGGGGACGAUAAUGACGGUACCCGGAGAAGAAGCCCCGGCUAACUUCGUG